CCAUGGAACAUAUAAGCUAAUGAAUGUUCACAGAAUCCUAACUGGGGAUACAAUUGUGGGAAAAUAUUACCCUUAAUUAAUAUAUAGUCUGAUAUUUGAGCAGUUAUAGAUUCAAGGCAGAAGGCUAGCUUUCAAGGGGAGACUUUCACUCCCAUACCUGGCUGCUGUAUGACUGCCCUAGGGCAGCAAUCACAGAGACACCACAGGGCAGCCUCUGUUAGGAUUAGGAUGACUGAGGCAUGGUCUAGUUGGAUGUUAGGACUGGGCUCUAUUUAGCCUACACAAUCCUGUAUAAUCUUAGAAUUAAAGAAAAAAGAAAGAAACGAAGGAAGGGAGGGAGGGAAGGAUGGAAGGAAGGAAGGAAGGAAGAAAGGAAGGAAGGAAGGGGGAGGGAGGGAGGGAAGGGAGGGAAGGAAGGAGGGAGGGAGGGAAGGAAGGAAGGUGAAAAGAAGGGAGGGGAGGAAAAGGGAAAAGGUCUGUUGGUCAAUUUCAUGGACCUCUUAUUAUGCCAAUGUGAAAAUCAGUUAGCUAAAUCUUUUGUGUCAUUUUUUAUCUUUUCUUAAACCUUUUUAGGGAGUGAUAAUUACAUACAUCUUUCCUGUGUUUUAGGAAGAAAUUUUUGAAAGUAGAUUAAAAAGUCAGAUUGAGAUAAAUUAUUAGGUUUAUUGCUAUCAAAACUGGAAUAAAGAGUGGCAUAAAUAUAUAGCCAUACUAGGCUUUCUAUCAUUUCUCCCAAGCCAGAUGGAUUUGAAAGGCCUAGCUGAAGGCCUAUUUGAGUCUGUGGAGAAGACAUACUUACUCAGAUUUGCUGCCUUAUCUACCUGCCAUGUUUGGGACAGAGAGAGACAUGAGUCUUCAGAUCCAUCUCUAGAAGACAGGCCUGACCCUGAUCCAAAUGUUCCUACAGUGUGGAAGCAGGAGUUCCAGAAGAUAUGGAUUCAUAAGAGGACAAAUCUAAAAAUAGGGAAAGGGAGUGGCUAUACCACAUGUGUUCUUACAGACCAAUCCCAGAUUAGUCAUGCUUCCAACUAGGGUGAGGGGUGAAUAAGGUGAGCAUGGGCCCCAGUGACAAGCCACAGGCAGUGGGAUGUUCUCAUCUUUCGCUGCCAAGUGGGAUUUGGGGAGCUAAACACACACCACACACACACACAUGCACACACUCACACAUACACACCAACACACAGAGACACAUACGCACAUGCAUGCAUAUGCACACCACAGCACACACACACACCCCACACACAUACAUGAACAGAUGCACACACACACCACAUACAAAUGCACAUACACAACACACAAGUGCACUCACACAAACACACUCUUGCCUUGGUUUCAUAUGUGUAGCUAGAGUGACAAACAGAACAGGGAAAGGAAGCUCCCCCCAAACAGAGGCCUUUAUUAAAUUUAUAACAAUUGGGUUGGUAUAGAAUAGAGGUUCAGUUAACAUUUCUUGAAUGAAUUACUGCAGAAUGUAUUGAAUAUUAUCUAUAGGUGAGGUUUUCCAUAUUUAACUCUGCCACAAUAUAAGAAAAAUGACAUUCCCUUCACCUGUGACCUGAGAAUUCUUCAUUACCAGAUCCCAUUUUUGAAAGCAUGUGCCUUGUUUGAUCUCCUCGGGACUUGAUGAGGCUGACAAGUGGUCUCCUAUGUUUAAAGGGAAUUGCUCUACCUAAAGACUGGGGAUCUAUGGGAAAGGGAGAAAGAAAGGCAGAAGGUUCAGCAAGAGGAGAAAAUGCUUUGUGUUGUAAGAUAUGACUUUCCAUCCUGGAAUCAUCCAGAUCUUCACUGAAGUCUGCAAUGCCCCGGAUUACUUCUGUAUGAGUAAAUUUCUCAUGGAAGUUAGUAAAAGGGGUAAGUUCUGCAUUCUGGGGUCAAGGGACUAAAACAGUCUUACUUCAUCUAGGCAGCUGUGGCUGAAAUUAGGUUGUGUAAGGCUGAAAUUAGG
rnacentral:lncRNA from 1 species